CGACUGCUAAUACCGAAUGUGCCCUUAGGGGUGAAAGAUUUAUCGUCUAGAGAUUGGCUCGCGUCAGAUUAGGUAGUUGGAGUGGUAACGGCACACCAAGCCUACGAUCUGUACUUGGUCUGAGAGGAUGACCAGGCACACUGGAACUGAGACACGGUCCAGACUCCUACGGGAGGCAGCAGUGGGGAAUUUUCCGCAAUGGGCGCAAGCCUGACGGAGCAAUACCGCGUGAGGGAGGAAGCCUUUUGGGGUGUAAACCUCUUUUAUUAGGGAAGAAUAGAUGACGGUACCUAAUGAAUCAGCAUCGGCUAACUCCGUGCCAGCAGCCGCGGUAAUACGGAGGAUGCAAGCGUUAUCCGGAAUUAUUGGGCGUAAAGCGUCCGUAGGUGGCUUAUCAAGUCUUUUGUCAAAUCGUGCAGCUUAACUGCAUACGGGCGGAGGAAACUGAUGAGCUAGAGUGCGAUAGGGGUCACAGGAAUUCCCAGUGUAGCGGUGAAAUGCGUAGAUAUUGGGAAGAACACCAGCGGCGAA
rnacentral:rRNA from 1 species